UUGACGCUGAGGUUGGUACUUGUACCGACUGGAUGAGCAGCGAACGGGUGAGUAACGCGUGGGGAAUCUGCCUUUGAGCGGGGGACAACAUUUGGAAACGAAUGCUAAUACCGCAUAAAAACUUUAAACACAAGUUUUAAGUUUGAAAGAUGCAAUUGCAUCACUCAAAGAUGAUCCCGCGUUGUAUUAGCUAGUUGGUGAGGUAAAGGCUCACCAAGGCGAUGAUACAUAGCCGACCUGAGAGGGUGAUCGGCCACAUUGGGACUGAGACACGGCCCAAACUCCUACGGGAGGCAGCAGUAGGGAAUCUUCGGCAAUGGACGAAAGUCUGACCGAGCAACGCCGCGUGAGUGAAGAAGGUUUUCGGAUCGUAAAACUCUGUUGGUAGAGAAGAACGUUGGUGAGAGUGNAAGCUCAUCAAGUGACGGUAACUACCCAGAAAGGGACGGCUAACUNCGUGCCAGCAGCCGCGGUAAUCGUAGGUCCCGAGCGUUUCCGGAUUUUUGGGCGUAAGCGAGCCAGGUGGUUAUNAGUCUGUGAAAAGCAGUGCUCACCAUUGNUG
rnacentral:rRNA from 1 species